rnacentral:rRNA from 1 species
UGCUGGAGGUAUCAGAAGUGCGAAUGCUGACAUAAGUAACGAUAAAGCGGGUGAAAAGCCCGCUCGCCGGAAGACCAAGGGUUCCUGUCCAACGUUAAUCGGGGCAGGGUGAGUCGACCCCUAAGGCGAGGCCGAAAGGCGUAGUCGAUGGGAAACGGGUUAAUAUUCCCGUACUUGGUGUUACUGCGAAGGGGGGACGGAGAAGGCUAUGUUGGCCGGGCGACGGUUGUCCCGGUUUAAGCGUGUAGGUGUGUGUUCCAGGUAAAUCCGGUUCACUUUAACACUGAGGCGUGACGACGAGGCACUACGGUGCUGAAGCAACAAAUGCCCUGCUUCCAGGAAAAGCCUCUAAGCAUCAGGUAACAUCAAAUCGUACCCCAAACCGACACAGGUGGUCAGGUAGAGAAUACCAAGGCGCUUGAGAGAACUCGGGUGAAGGAACUAGGCAAAAUGGUGCCGUAACUUCGGGAGAAGGCACGCUGACACGUAGGUGAAGUGAUUUACUCAUGGAGCUGAAGUCAGUCGAAGAUACCAGCUGGCUGCAACUGUUUAUUAAAAACACAGCACUGUGCAAACACGAAAGUGGACGUAUACGGUGUGACGCCUGCCCGGUGCCGGAAGGUUAAUUGAUGGGGUCAGCGCAAGCGAAGCUCCUGAUCGAAGCCCCGGUAAACGGCGGCCGUAACUAUAACGGUCCUAAGGUAGCGAAAUUCCUUGUCGGGUAAGUUCCGACCUGCACGAAUGGCGUAAUGAUGGCCAGGCUGUCUCCACCCGAGACUCAGUGAAAUUGAACUCGCUGUGAAGAUGCAGUGUACCCGCGGCAAGACGGAAAGACCCCGUGAACCUUUACUAUAGCUUGACACUGAACAUUGAGCCUUGAUGUGUAGGAUAGGUGGGAGGCUUUGAAGCGUGGACGCCAGUCUGCGUGGAGCCGGCCUUGAAAUACCACCCUUUAAUGUUUGAUGUUCUAACGUGGACCCGUGAUCCGGGUUGCGGACAGUGUCUGGUGGGUAGUUUGACUGGGGCGGUCUCCUCCUAAAGAGUAACGGAGGAGCACGAAGGUUGGCUAAUCCUGGUCGGACAUCAGGAGGUUAGUGCAAUGGCAUAAGCCAGCUUGACUGCGAGCGUGACGGCGCGAGCAGGUGCGAAAGCAGGUCAUAGUGAUCCGGUGGUUCUGAAUGGAAGGGCCAUCGCUCAACGGAUAAAAGGUACUCCGGGGAUAACAGGCUGAUACCGCCCAAGAGUUCAUAUCGACGGCGGUGUUUGGCACCUCGAUGUCGGCUCAUCACAUCCUGGGGCUGAAGUAGGUCCCAAGGGUAUGGCUGUUCGCCAUUUAAAGUGGUACGCGAGCUGGGUUUAGAACGUCGUGAGACAGUUCGGUCCCUAUCUGCCGUGGGCGCUGGAGAACUGAGGGGGGCUGCUCCUAGUACGAGAGGACCGGAGUGGACGCAUCACUGGUGUUCGGGUUGUCAUGCCAAUGGCACUGCCCGGUAGCUA